rnacentral:rRNA from 1 species
GGGUAGUAAAUUUAAAACCUAAAGAAUUUGGCGGUUCUUAANCUUACUAGAGGAACCUGUCCUGUAAUCGAUAGUCCACGAUCUUAUUUACCUACCUUUGUUAUCAGCUUAUAUACCGCCGUUUAGUGAAUUAAAAAAUAAUUUCACUCUAUUAACUAGUUAAGUAAAUCAGGUCAAGGUGUAGUUUAUAGGUAGGAAGAGAUGGGUUACAAUAAGAGUUUAGACGGAUAGUACAACCUAGGUUGNACUUGAAGGUGGAUUUAGAAGUAAAUAGCGUAGAUUUGAAGUGAGCUCUUAAGAAUGUACACAU